UACAGAGGAUGCAAGCGUUAUCCGGAAUGAUUGGGCGUAAAGCGUCUGUAGGUGGCUUUUUAAGUCCGCCGUCAAAUCCCAGGGCUCAACUCUGGACAGGCGGUGGAAACUACCAAGCUGGAGUACGGUAGGGGCAGAGGGAAUUUCCGGUGGAGCGGUGAAAUGCGCAGAUAUCGGGAGGAACACCGGUGGCGAAGGCGGGUUCUCUGGGCCUUGACCUGACGCUGAGGAGCGAAAGCGUGGGGAGCGAAACAGGA
rnacentral:rRNA from 1 species